UGAUAGAGGACCUUGUACUGGUUGUUGGUGGAGUACUGAUAGAGGACCUUGUACUGGUUGUUGGUGGGGUACUGAUAGAGGACCUUGUACUGGUUGUUGAUGAGGUACUGAUAGAGGACCUGUUACUGGUUGUUGGUGGGGUACUGAUAGAGGACCUUGUACUGGUUGUUGGUCGGUGCUGAUAGAGAACCUGGU